UCUCUUUCUGGAGGUCACUCCUCAUGGAGUUUAUUGCAAGUCUACAACAUCGAUUGAUCUGUGAAACUCCCCUCUGUUAAGGACGUGAUCAGCAUGUUCCUGGAGACCUCUUCUGAUACUGGAGAGCAUGAAGAGUUUAAGAGUUGGGGCUUGUUUGUGCAGGAUCAGCCACCUGUGCUUGCUAAUGCAGAAUGCUCAAUAAGUGAAUAUGUGUGGGAUGUGUAGGCAAAGCUGCAGCCAAUUUUCAACAUGUGGUAUGAAAUGAAUAUUACAGAGUUGUUACUGGUAGAUGACAACGUGUUUACAUUAAUGACCUUUUCCUAAUACUCUCCUGAAGUACUGUGUUAAACAGAGCAUUUGCUGUAUUACUGCCUCAUAGAUCUGCAAAGCUGUAAAAUUCAUUGGAUAUCUUUUGCUGUCAGGGCCUCAUAGCAUGGUGACUGACUGACUUUAUAUUUCAGUAUUUAAUUCCCUAUGUUGUUUCCGCAAAGAUGAGUGUCAUCUGGGACAGGAAUAGUUUGAUGCUUCUGUUUGCUUGGAGGUGCUGGUAUUUGCUUCAUGUUGCUGUUCGCAAGUUUUAUGUGACUGCUGAUGUGCGUAAACUGUGAAACUGAUUGUUUGGAUAUGCUGUAGUGAUUUGUUACAAAGCAGCCUUUUUUCCUCCAGCUUAGUAACAGGCCUCCAGCCUUGUCUGGAUGUACGCUGUAUAUUUUUUCUUUCCUUCCAUAGGGAAGCAGCGAAUCUUUAAAAAUCAAGAUCAAAACCCUCUCUCAUAGCCAUCUGCUUCCACU